rnacentral:rRNA from 1 species
UACGUAGGGCGCAAGCGUUUGUCCGGAAUUAUUGGGCGUAAAGAGCUCGUAGGCGGUUUGUUGCGUCUGCUGUGAAAACCCGAGGCUCAACCUCGGGCCUGCAGUGGGUACGGGCAAACUAGAGUGCGGUAGGGGAGAUUGGAAUUCCUGGUGUAGCGGUGGAAUGCGCAGAUAUCAGGAGGAACACCGAUGGCGAAGGCAGAUCUCUGGGCCGUAACUGACGCUGAGGAGCGAAAGCGUGGGGAGCGAACAGG